GAUGAACGCUGGCGGCGUGCCUAAUACAUGCAAGUCGAGUGAACAGACGAGAGUGCUUGCACUCUCUGACGUUAGCGGCGGACGGGUGAGUAACACGUGGGUAACCUACCUAUAAGACUGGGAUAACUUCGGGAAACCGGAGCUAAUACCGGAUAAUAUUUAGCUUCGCAUGAAGCAAUAGUGAAAGACGGUUCUGCUGUCACUUAUAGAUGGACCCGCGGUGUAUUAGCUAGUUGGUGAGGUAACGGCUCACCAAGGCAACGAUACAUAGCCGACCUGAGAGGGUGAUCGGCCACACUGGGACUGAGACACGGCCCAGACUCCUACGGGAGGCAGCAGUAGGGAAUCUUCCGCAAUGGACGAAAGUCUGACGGAGCAAUGCCGCGUGAGUGAAGAAGGUUUUCGGAUCGUAAAACUCUGUUGUAAGGGAAGAACAAGUACGUUAGUAACUGAACGUACCUUGACGGUACCUUACCAGAAAGCCACGGCUAACUACGUG
rnacentral:rRNA from 1 species